UUUACCUUUUAGAAAAAAAGGUGGUAAACGCAAAGUUGAAGAGAGAGAAGAAGCAGUACAGACUAAAAAGAAAACAAAGAAGAACCCAUUCAUUUCCGACGAAGCAGGAGAAGGAGAAGAAGAAGUACAGACUAAAAAG